ACAGAUUCGUCUUCCUGUCAAUCAUUGUAUGAAAUGAAAAAUAGAGCAAGAUAUCUUUAGAGAUUUUCAACUAUAAAACUAGAAAGUUGACGUUUUGAUCGCACACAAUUUACUGAGGAACAUGAAACGUGAUUAAUUCAUGUAAAAGUAUUGUAAAAGAUGGCGAUUCGCCAGAGAAGUCAGCAUUUCGAGUAAUCGCACGUUUGAACAUCAAACGAAACCGAUUAAACGUAAAAGGAUUACUAGAGUUGCUGAAUAAUCAAACAAGCAGCUGUUAAGCCAAUGAGAUAGCUAUUUGCAGAAUCUUUGAAGAAUGCGAUAAGUCAAAGUGAAAUCUCGACGUUGCAAAAUAUCUUUUCGCAUAUCUAAAAUUGGACACGACUAAGCCAUUCAAUGUUAAGGACGGGAUAGGACCGGAAUUUCCAAGACGAUGAUGAAAUCCGUUGUGGCGCCUAAAGGAAUUUCAUGGAAAGUGCCUCCUACUCGCUUUUAUCAGGGAGAUCGACCGGUCCAGGCGUUUUCCUCUUCAGCGUCCCGAUACUCUCUCGUUUGACGUGAGUCAACUAAUAACAUGUACGCGUCUCUCGUGAAAUAAUCUUUGCGUUUUCCAUUUGCAAAGUGACAUUUGUCACGAGCUUAUGGAAGACGCGCGACAUUUGUCGCGUGAAAGCAACCGGAUAUCUUUAUUUCUCUU